rnacentral:rRNA from 1 species
CGGAGGGUCCAAGCGUUAUCCGGAAUCAUUGGGUUUAAAGGGUCCGUAGGCGGUUUUGUAAGUCAGUGGUGAAAGCCCAUCGCUCAACGGUGGAACGGCCAUUGAUACUGCAAGACUUGAAUUAUUGGGAAGUAACUAGAAUAUGUAGUGUAGCGGUGAAAUGCUUAGAGAUUACAUGGAAUACCAAUUGCGAAGGCAGGUUACUACCAAUAUAUUGACGCUGAUGGACGAAAGCGUGGGGAGCGAACAGGAUUAGAUACCCUGGUAGUCCACGCCGUAAACGAUGGAUACUAGCUGUUCGGAGCAAUCUGAGUGGCUAAGCGAAAGUGAUAAGUAUCCCACCUGGGGAGUACGUUCGCAAGAAUG